CUGAGGACAUUGUACACGCAGAGUUUGGAGCCUCUUCCACCAAGAGGAUCUGGCUUUGGAGCAUCAGAAAAUGAAACUGAAUUUGCUGAAGGUGAAAGUGAAGCUAAACAGGAAAUUCUUAAAAACAAAGAUCUGGCUGUUCAACAUGCCCAUUUUUAUGGGCUUGGAUGGACUAAAUAAAGAUAAUAUCACCGUUUGUAAAACUGGAGAUGUUUUUAAGGCUAAAAAUCUCAUUGAGGUAAUGUGGAAUUCUCAUGAAGCCCGUGAAAAAUUUCUUCAUCCAGGAAUUUUUUAGACAAGUGAAUUUUUUGAGUGAUACAUGUCAAGGUGACAAUGCAUUUCCAAAUGGGUUAGAUGUUACCUUUGAAGUAACUGAAUUAAGGAAAUUAAUGGGCAGUUAAAACACCAUGGUUGGAAACAAUGAAGGGAGUACGGUACUUGGCCUCAAACUCCCUGAUCUUCUAGGUUAUGCAGAAAAGGCGACUUUUCAUUUUUCCCAUGGAACAAAAGACGCUUCCCAUGGCCUUUCUUCAAACCAUGGCCCGGAAACUUCAAAAGGAAUUUAUCUGUAAACUUACAUGAAGUUACUGAACAGUUCCCUUGGAGCUCACUUCCGGAAAUGAACAGAAGAUGAUCAGCCAAGUACAGUCUUCCCAUAUGAAAGACCAGCCACACCAACAAUUGGAAAGGCAUGUGGCGAGACCUGGGCUGUCACUUAAGGACAGCAUCAUUUGCUGUUUGAAAGUAAGGCAGACAUUCACUUAAAUCAUGUCUUUCACAUGCCAUGGUCAUCGAUUUUCAGAAUUCUUCCAUCUUACCAAGAAAAUGUGUUUUGCUGAAAGUUAACCAGGAACUGACAGGCUACACUACAAGGGAUAUAAGCUUCAUCAAAGAUUUUGAACUUCAGUUGAAUAAACCACUCAUAUUUGAUUCAGUUUUUUCAGCAAUUCUCUGAGGUGGGAUGUUGGCACCCAUGGUGAUAAACUGUGAGUCCUGCUGAUAGUUUCACCUUGGGGGACCAACAAGUGUCCAAGGAUUCAGCAUGCACAGCACCGGAGCAGAGUGCAGGCGACCACCUAGGUGGAGAAGCACGCUGGGCCAGCGGACCGCAACUGUGUACGCCAACACGUUUAAAGCCAAGCCAGGGCAGUUUGGGAGAACUUUUCCAAACACUUUUUUCUCAACACAGGAAACCUCUGCAACCUCAACUAUGGGGAGGGCCCCAAAGUGUAUUCGUGAGCUGGCUGAAUGUAUCUGCCAGUUUUAUGGCACCAGGAUUGUCUUUAGGCUUGGCAACAUGGCUCUGUUGGAACUUAAUUACUACUUUCCUAUGGGAGUGCAGACAGGCAACAGGAUAUGUGAUAGCAUCUAGUUUUGAGCUGGGAUAAGGUUCCUGUAG
rnacentral:lncRNA from 1 species